rnacentral:misc_RNA from 1 species
AAGUCGUAACAAGGUUUCCGUAGGUGAACCUGCGGAAGGAUCAUUAAAAAAUCAUAAUCGUGCAGUAUGUACGCCAGUAUGUACGGUACGUAUGGGAGCCGCAAGGCUCUCUGAAUAUUUUGUGAACUGUGUGGACAGUACGGCAGGAGUAUGUGGUUAAGAGAGGGUUAUCUCUUUACACCAAUGCAUCUAUCUGUUGUACUGUCUAUUUUGAUAAUAUAUGUUAUAUAUUGAUGAAGUAUAAUGGAGGGAGGGGGAGACCCCAGCCUCGAACAACAAAUAUAUUAUACAACUUUCAACAGUGGAUCUCUCGGCUCUU